rnacentral:rRNA from 1 species
AACGAACGCUGGCGGCAGGCUUAACACAUGCAAGUCGAGCGCCCCGCAAGGGGAGCGGCAGACGGGUGAGUAACGCGUGGGAAUCUACCCAAUACUACGGAAUAGCUCCGGGAAACUGGAAUUAAUACCGUAUGUGCCCUACGGGGGAAAGAUUUAUCGGUAUUGGAUGAGCCCGCGUUGGAUUAGCUAGUUGGUGAGGUAAUGGCUCACCAAGGCGACGAUCCAUAGCUGGUCUGAGAGGAUGAUCAGCCACACUGGGACUGAGACACGGCCCAGACUCCUACGGGAGGCAGCAGUGGGGAAUAUUGGACAAUGGGCGAAAGCCUGAUCCAGCCAUGCCGCGUGAGUGAUGAAGGCCUUAGGGUUGUAAAGCUCUUUCAGGUGGGAAGAUAAUGACGGUACCACCAGAAGAAGCCCCGGCUAACUUCGUGUCAGCAGCCGCAGUAACAC